AGUGAACGCUGGCGGCAGGCCUAACACAUGCAAGUCGAGCGGCAGCGGGUCCCCGCGAGGGGAUGCCGGCGAGCGGCGGACGGGUGAGGAACACAUCGGAAUCUGCCUGGUUGUGGGGGAUAACGUAGGGAAACUUACGCUAAUACCGCAUGAGACCCUGAGUCGACGGACUGGGGGUGAAAGUGAGGGACCUUGGGCCUCACGCGACCAGAUGAGCCGAUGUCGGAUUAGCUAGUUGGC
rnacentral:rRNA from 1 species